CUACUAAUAGCUAAUAGCUAUAGACACACACACAGACACACACAGACACACACAGACACACACAGACACAGACACACACAGACACACACACGGACACACACAGACACACACACAGACACAGACACAGACACACACAGACACAGACACAGACACACACACAGACACACACACAGACACACACAGACACAGACACACACACAGACACACACAGACACACACAGACACACACACACAGACACACAGACACACAGACACACACACACGGACACACACAGACACACACAGACACACACAGACACACACACAGACACACACACACAGACACACACAGACACACACACGGACACACACAGACACACACACAGACACACACACACACACACAGACACACACACACAGACACACACACAAACACACACAGACAGACACACACACACAGACACACACAGACACACACAGACACACACAUACAUACACAGACAGACACACACACAGACAAACACACACAGACACACACACACAUACAUACACAGACACACACAGACACACACACGGACACACACAGACACACACACAGACACACACAGACACACACACAGACACACACAGACACACACACGGACACACACAGACACACACAGACACACACGGACACACACAGACACACACAGACACGGACACACACAGACACACACACAGACACACACAGACACACACAGACACACACACACAGACACACACACAGACACACACAGACACACACACACAGACACACACACACAGACACACACAGACACACACAGACACACACACACAGACACACACAGACACACACACACAGACACACACAGACACACACAGAUACACACUACACACUUCAUAGGAAUAUUACAGAACAUAUCAGAUGCUACACAUACGGAGACGCACAAGGAUUACUUAGUUAUUCUUCUCUGUAAAUACGUUGAAAUCUUCUGUACAGUUCCAGACACUAACACUGACCCCCCCUAUGUGUCAGUUCACCUGCUAACCAUUGAUUUGACUGACAGCACAGACAUUUGA
rnacentral:lncRNA from 1 species